GAGUGGAAAAAAAAGAAGGGGGAUCUAGAAAAAGAUUCCUGAUGAUAUUAGUUGAUAUGUGCCGAAAUUUUGUGGCUGACGACCAAUAAAAAUUAAACUUACAGUCGAUAAUGAAGGGAGAAAGAGUUACUAGUUCUAUAAACUAACGUAAGACGGUAGCACAAGGCAUUUUAUUUUCCCGCUAACAAUGCUAUUCCGCCAAUCAGUGCAUGUCUAUACCACUCGUUAUUCUGUUGUCUGUUGAAAUGUUUGGAAAGUCUGUGUCGUUGGUUAAUAUUUUCUACAUUUUUUUCCUGAAUAUGAUCAUCUCCAGCAUCCUAUAGCCAAGAAGAGAAAUUCGAGACAUUAAGACCCGGUCUCCUUGAAAAAAGGUUAUUUUCAAAAUUUUUAAUCCAUUAAAUUUUUUAAUUUAACCAAGAGGAGGGAUCUUCGGAGACGAAUGUGUUGAAGAUUAUUAUCUGGCUUUGGUUGUCUUCGUUGGAGAGAAUUCAUGAAAAUUAUUCUAUUCUCGAUGGCUUAUUGUGAAUUUUAUCUUGAAGUACGCAGAAAAAUAUAAAAAAUCGACAAAGUGAAACAAGUGCAUUUUUCAUCUCUUCAACACUGCUUUGGACAACUAUGGAAAAAUCUCUAUUUUUCAACUGAGGAUUCACCGUUUUUUCACAAAUUGGUCCAGGAGGAUAAGGAGCUGAAGGAGCAACACAUAAUUAUAUCGCGUCGACGAAGAUAAUCCGCGAUUGGUAAGUCCCUCUUGCCUCCAAAAUAGUGGCGGAGACAAGUUGUAACAUAUUUAGAAAAUUUCCUAGUGAAUUGAAUUAGUAUAAAAAUUAAAUUUUUAUAUAUUUUUUCAAUUAAAAAGUGAAUCUGUAUAUUUAUGUGUUUCUUAGAGUUAUAGGUAUUAUUUUUCUUGGUACACGUGAAUUUAUUUUAUUAUUGAAACUCGUUAUAUACCAAGAAAAGUAGAAAGCAAUUAUAAUUAUCU